AUACGGAAGGUCCGGGCGUUAUCCGGAUUUAUUGGGUUUAAAGGGAGCGCAGGCGGAGAUGCAAGCGUGACGUCAAAUUUCGGGGCUCAACCCCGUCUCGCGUCGCGAACUGCGUCCCUUGGUUGCGGGAAGGGGAGGCGGAACUCGUGGUGUAGCGGUGAAAUGCAUAGAUAUCACGAAGAACUCCGAUCGCGAAGGCAGCCUUCCGGCCCGUCAACGACGCUCAUGCUCGAAGGUGCGGGUAUCAAACAGGAUUAGAUACCCUGGUAGUCCGCACAGUAAACGAUGGACACCCGCGGUUUGGCCUAUAUGGCUGAGCCGCCAAGCGAAAGCGUUAAGUGUCCCACCUGGGGGGUACGCCGGCAACGGUGAAACUCAAAUGAAUUGACGGGG
rnacentral:rRNA from 1 species